UUAAUAAAAUCUUAAAGAAAUUUCACUGUUAAUGAAUAUAUGAGUCUCUCUCUUAUUGAGCUAUUAAU
rnacentral:tRNA from 1 species